AGUAAAACUGAUAAAUUUGAAUGUUGAGCUACACGGGGAGACAGCCAGCAGUGUCUAGAGUUAUUCUUUAGCUAUGGUUUUAGGGUUACGGUUUAUGGUUUCUCGCACAGGGUAGAGAAACAGCUUAACCAUACUUAUCUUAUUCUUUUGGGUUUAGAAACCAGGAAGUUUACAUUUUAAGUGGGUAGAGACUGAAAGGUAGUUAACAUGUUUAGCAGAUGCAAAAAAGGCUCAGGUAAAGUCCAAUCCAGGUGGGUUAUGGUGGAGUAUUAGUUUAAAACAGCUUUGCCUCAUGGAUUUCCUCACAUGACUUUUGAACUUUGAGCCGUUGGCACGUGUUGCCGUCCGACAGAGGACAGAGAUGACCGAGCACCUGAUGAAAAUACUGAUUGUUGGUGAUGGAAAUGUUGGGAAAUCCUCCUUUGUGCAUCGCUAUGUGGACGGCCAGUUCAACAAGACCUACAAGAUGACAGUAGGAGUGGAUUUUUCUGUGAAGCUGCUGCACUGGUCGGAUAAAGAAAAAGUCAGACUACAACUGUGGGACAUUGCAGGCCAGGAGCGUUUCAUUUCCAUGACCAGGGUCUAUUAUAAAGGCGCGUUGGGCUGUGUCAUCAUGUUUGACGUCACCAGCCCGUCCAGCUUCCGUAGCUGUCGCCAUUGGAAACAGGACCUAGACAACAAGGCUAUGCUGCCUAAUGGACAAUCCAUCCCCUGCAUCCUGCUGGCCAACAAGUGUGACUUAGCUCAGCGGGUUGUGUCAGCAGACAGCAUCGAUAGGUUCAGUAAGGUCAACGGCUUCAUUACAUGGAUGGAGACUUCAGUCAAAGAGAACAAGAACAUCGGAGAGGCUAUGAGGAGGUUGGUGCAGGAGAUUUUGUCAGUUGAGUCCAGUCUGGACCCGUUGGAGCCAGGACCUCAAGACAGCACUUAUUCCCAAAUGGACAACAGCAGAGGAGGAAGCUGCUGCUGAAGCACUGCUUUCACACUACAAUCGCAGGGACAAGCAAACACAGCCAGCGCCUGUUCAUUAGUUGUUUGAGGUGCCUGAGCAACUGAGCAAGGCACUUCCACCUCAAGUACUUAGUGCGGCUGUUCGCUAAUAGGAGGAGGCCAGUGGAGACAUCCUAGAUGCUGAUGUGGUAUUGUGACCUGAACGUGAUGCUAGAGAACCCGAAGCGUGUGAUACACACCAGUCCACUGUGGCAGUGUCACACUUUCAACAUAUUCUCAUUCUGCUGGUAAGAUAGACUUUCAAAAUAAAGCUUGCUUAAUUAGGUUUUGGCACGAAAACAUUUCUUUUUAGAUUUGGAAAAAUAUCGUAAGUUACAUUACAUUACAUUACAUUAAGUACAUUACAUAAGGAAAGUAAGUCAAAUUUGACUUUUGACAUCACACUGGACUCAAACAGCAGCCUCCUGGGUGAAGUCCUGUGUUUGAUCCAUCCAUCCACCCCAUCCACCUUCCUACCUGGACUUUGUCGCUCUUUAUACUGCACCGUCUAUUACGCGCUUUGAAAUGAGACUGGGCUGCAGGGGGUGACCAAGCAACAUAUGGACAGAAAAGACAGAUGGACAUAGCCACAACAAGGGCAACCCAGUCACACACACACACACACACACACACAGUAUUUUUGCACUCCUGUGGGGGAUUUUCUGUCUCUCUAUGUGUAGGCUUCUAUUCUUAUCACUGAGUUGGAGGAAGGCAGAAGCUCUUGGCCGUGACUCAGUCAUCCACAAAUGCUACAAUUCUGGAGAACCCUCAACCAAACGACCGGAUGUUGGACAGAUGGACAUUUUGUCAAUGUGCCUAUUUGUCAGGAUGUAAUAGUCACUACACAAUGAGUAGGUCAUCGUGCCCCAUCAUGUUGUUUUUCCCUUCCUCUCACAACAUCCCAGCGGUUACAAGGGCAUUUCAGCAGGACUCAUUAUAUGUAAAUGGAAACACUGGCUGCUGCAGAGAGAACAUUGUGGAGCUUUUCAAUGCUGGAACGUUCUCUCUGUUCAUGUGUGCCAGUCUCCAAAGUCCAGUGUGAAGUGGAAUCUAGUGCUGAGGUUGCAGUUUGCUACCAACUGAAUACCCCUCACCUCAACCCCCCUUUCCAAGCUUGUAGGAGAAACUACGGUGGCCACGAAACUCACAAAAAAGUUUUGGUUUGUCCGUUCUGGGCAACUGUAGAGACAUGGCGGUUCAGCAUGGUGGAAGAGGAUCCGCCCCCUCUGUAGAUAUAAAGGGCUCAUUCUAAGGUUACAACAUUUCAUACUGCAAGAAGUGGAGUUUAUUUAUUGCUUGCCAAGUUAUAUUUGGCCUGUUUGUUACCAAAUAAUAAAAAAUUGGAAUUUUAUAAUCAUCUUCAA